rnacentral:rRNA from 1 species
UAAUACGUAGGUGGCGAGCGUUAUCCGGAUUUACUGGGCGUAAAGGGAGCGUAGGCGGAUGAUUAAGUGGGAUGUGAAAUACCCGGGCUCAACUUGGGUGCUGCAUUCCAAACUGGUUAUCUAGAGUGCAGGAGAGGAGAGUGGAAUUCCUAGUGUAGCGGUGAAAUGCGUAGAGAUUAGGAAGAACACCAGUGGCGAAGGCGACUCUCUGGACUGUAACUGACGCUGAGGCUCGAAAGCGUGGGGAGCAAACAGG